CUACGGGUGGCAGCAGUGGGGAAUUUUGGACAAUGGGCGAAAGCCUGAUCCAGCCAUUCCGCGUGAGUGAUGAAGGCCUUCGGGUUGUAAAGCUCUUUCGGCCGGGAAAAAAUCGCAUGGGUUAAUACCCUGUGUGGAUGAUGGUACCGGACUAAGAAGCACCGGCUAACUACGUGCCAGCAGCCGCGGUAAUACGUAGGGUGCGAGCGUUAAUCGGAAUUACUGGGCGUAAAGCGUGCGCAGGCGGAUGUUUAAGUCAGAUGUGAAAUCCCCGGGCUCAACCUGGGAAUGGCAUUUGAAACUGGGCAUCGAGAGUGCGUCAGAGGGGGGUGGAAUUCCACGUGUAGCAGUGAAAUGCGUAGAGAUGUGGAGGAACACCGAUGGCGAAGGCAGCCCCCUGGGAUGACACUGACGCUCAUGCACGAAAGCGUGGGGAGCAAACAGGAUUAGAUACCCCUGUAGUC
rnacentral:rRNA from 1 species